rnacentral:rRNA from 1 species
GACGAACCGUGCUAACGUUGUUCGGAAUCACUGGGCUUAAAGGGCGCGUAGGCGGGCCAUCAAGUCCGGGGUGAAAGCCCCCAGCUCAACUGGGGAAGUGCCUCGGAUACUGGCGGCCUCGAGGGAGGUAGGGGCGUGCGGAACUUCCGGUGGAGCGGUGAAAUGCGUAGAGAUCGGAAGGAACGCCGGUGGCGAAAGCGGCACGCUGGACCUCUUCUGACGCUGAGGCGCGAAAGCCAGGGGAGCAAACGGGG